UAAUGUAUGUACGUGUGUUACAUUCCUUUUUGGCUUUUAUAUGUAUUUAUUUUGUACAUGGGCGUGAGAGUAAAGAAUAUACGAAUAAUAAUUUAUUUAUUGGAUACUG